CGCUGCACGACUGGUCUGGUCUCCAUCCUUGAACCCCGCCUCGCCGCUUAUUUAGGUUGAGCCCCGCCGCCCCACCCUCCCGCCCCACUACGCCGACGCAGCCGCACUUUCACCGCUAUAUAAACUGCCGCACUGCAUCCUCCUGUACCUCCAGUUGUUUCCUGGAUCACAGCUCUGCACCAUGUUCAGGUUCCUGGUACUGCUGUUUCUUGUGGCGCUGGCAGCGUGCGUGCUGGCGACCCACGAGCCGGGCCACACGGAGAGCGGCGGUGGCGCCUCUGGCGGCGUCCGCUACGGCGCGGGCGCGGGCAGCGUUUCCUCCGAGGGCGGGCACGGCCGGGAAGCCGGCUACGGCGACGCCUUCGGCCACGAGACGCACGGCAAGCAGUAGCCGGGCGCAUCCCCGCUCACUCUGCACACCGCCGCUGCCACGCCUUCAUCACCGCCUCUCACCACCGCCGACAGCACUCAGCACAGUGACACACUACUCCUGCGUCGAAAUGCAUACCCGAGAACAUGUCAGUACAGACAUUAAGUAAUGGCAGAAGCUCUCGCGAUGUCCUACGUAAGCAGAGCACAACAUGUACCCGAAAGGACUAAUUGCCGCAGAUCAUCUCUAAAGGUAUUUGCAAUCAGAUUGCAGUAAAAGUAACAUAGGCCAGAAUACCCUCAUCGUCUACUGCGUCACAUGACUGAUGUCUUCUGGAGGGUUGCCUUAUGAACACAAGCUGCUGCCAUGUAUGUGGCGAACAAUUUCUGCAAAGACAUACCAUGAGAGACUAAAACUGUGGGCCAUUUGUAGUUGAACCCAGACUCUUACUGCAAUAGUAACACUGGCGUGAUUGGAGACCUGCACACAAUGUCUAUUUGCCAGUGCCUCAGUAAGUGUCUCUUAUUUCAAAAACGAAACAAUAACCUCUUUGAAAGCACCAUUACCGUAAGAUAUCGCCUGUAAUGCCGUAUAUAUUUGCACAGUUAUUAAAGUGCUACAUGUCUCUACGUUAAUGAACAAUGUACAGAGCAGCUUAAAUAAGAUCCAAGAGCAGAGAACAGCAGUAUUAAUAGAACUGAGUAGUCUAUCUAAGACCUGUAUUGCUUCUAUCAACGAAAAAAGCAGGCCUAAAGUGAGAAGCUUAUAUCUCAUCUCGUCGCCAUAGUGACAGCGCUGUAUCUGGCACUGCACCGGGUUUUAUGCUUGUUGGAAGACGACAGAGGCAAAAUGUCAUAAGCUUCUGUUGUGUUAACUGUGUUAAAAUCAUGUCUGUGCAACUAGUAUUUCAUGAGUCAAUUCUGUGUGUCACAAAUAAAACAGCACCAUUUUCGGAAGAUAUUUACACUUGCUUCAAAUAAACACUUACAUCAUCUUCAUUUAUCAAAUAAAUGUUUUUGUACAAAAA